GGGAGGGAUUGUGUACUGUCUGGAGAAGUGCUUGGAGCCCUCGGUAAGCACUAGGAGCAUCCAUCAGUGGAUAGUGUAUAGAUUUCCUGGUCAGCUCUAUGGAUUUGAUCCAAGACUCCAAAGGAAAAGGUCUGCUCAAGUCCUCUUCCAACUUUAUAAUGGUUAGUAUCUUCACAUCCUGGUUUACUCUGUUAAGUAUAUUCCUCUUCGUUAGUGAUUUCUUUGAGAAACUCCCAGACAAAAUCUAAAGGAGAUUGCUUUAUUAUUUGGAUUUGAGGCAAAACGUUUACUAUCAUUAAAAAUGAGAGUAUUUCCCUACUAGAUAGUCCAUAUUUUGUCUGUAUCUGUGAAAACGUAUUAACCUCAGAAUAUCUACAUUUAUCCAUCCAGUCAAAUUUAAAUCUUGAAUAGAACAUUUUAAAACCUCUAAUGGAGCAUGUGUGGAGAUAUGAUUGUGAGAGAAAAAUAAC